GCGAGAAAACUUUGCAAUGUGCGAAAGCACGACAAGGUUAAUCCGAGUGAUUUCUGCUAAAGGAAUCUUUUGUUAGUUCUAAAAAUACUAGUGAAUAAGGGGUGGGCAAGUUCUGGUGUCAGCCGCCGCGGUAAAACCAGCACCUCAAGUGGUCAGGAGGAUUAUUGGGCCUAAAGCAUCCGUAGCCUGUUCUAUAAGUUUGCGGUUAAAUCUAUACGCUCAACGUAUAGGCUGCCGUAAAUACUGUAGAACUAGGGAGUGGGAGAGGUAGACGGUACUCGAUAGGAAGGGGUAAAAUCCUUUGAUCUAUUGAUGACCACCUGUGGCGAAGGCGGUCUACCAGAACACGUUCGACGGUGAGGGAUGAAAGCUGGGGGAGCAAACCGG
rnacentral:rRNA from 1 species